rnacentral:rRNA from 1 species
GGAUGAACGCUGGCGGCGUGCUUAACACAUGCAAGUCGAGCGAGAAGUUUUGAAAAGAUUCUUCGGAUGAAAUUUAAAAUGGAAAGCGGCGGACGGGUGAGUAACGCGUAGGCAACCUGCCCCAUACAAAGGGAUAGCAUUUGGAAACGAAUAUUAAUACCUUAUGAAACUUAACUAGUGCAUGCUAGGUAGGUCAAAGAUUUAUCGGUAUGGGAUGGGCCUGCGUCUGAUUAGCUAGUUGGUGAGGUAACGGCUCACCAAGGCGACGAUCAGUAGCCGACCUGAGAGGGUGAACGGCCACAUUGGAACUGAGACACGGUCCAAACUCCUACGGGAGGCAGCAGUGGGGAAUAUUGCACAAUGGGGGAAACCCUGAUGCAGCAACGCCGCGUGAACGAUGAAGGCCUUUGGGUCGUAAAGUUCUGUUCUAGGUGAUGAAAACUGACAGUAACCUAGGAGAAAGCCCCGGCUAACUCCGUG